GUUUGUGUACGAUAGUGGUCAGUACGGCUCGUUGUGGUGAUUCAGUAUCCGAGCAGACGCAGGUUCGAUUCGAUUCCUGCUACAGCCA